GAGAGAAUAGAGUGAGAUUUUCAUCAUGUUUUAGUUGUUUUCUUCAAAAAUCCUAUUUCAUGAAAGUUAUAGUAUAGGAUCCUGUGAUCAUAGCCUUGGUCUUAGAACAUCUAUAGGAGUUCAUAUGAGUGAGAUAUGGCCACCUUUAGCCACGAGCUCCUUGAUGCCACCUUGAAAAAGGAUGGUUUUUUUGAAGUCUGUUCGGUUCUAAGUUGAUUUCUGGGUCCCGUUAACCUAUCUAAGUUUGGAAUCAAGAAAAGUGAUUUAAGCGGAUCAGUUUCAAGUAUUAAGUAUAAGGAAAGCUGCUUACAGGUACAUCAGUAGCAGGAGAGCCUCAAAAGGGCAAGGACAAGUGCAGUGAGGACAGAGGACUCAACAGGAGUGGACACUUAGUUAUUUGAACUACUGUAUAUGACAUGUUUUGAUACUGCAUAAAGUAUAUGAUUAUGCAAUAUAUGUCAUGUAUGUUCAGUUUUAUAAAUUGUAAAAUAAACUAAAGAAUUCUAUGCAGGUAUGGGACUGUAUAGAUAAUAUAAAAAUAUAAAUGGUAAAUGGAAAAAGUUAAGUCUUCCGCUUCAGGAUUUAAUUAUCCACGCUUUAAAGUACAAUACAUAAGUUAACAAUCCGAUUAUAAAAUUGGGGCCUUACAGUAGGCUAUUGGGGGUUUGUGGACCCUAGAUUGAUGAAGUUAAACUUCUGUAAUUAAUGAACUAAGUCAGAAUCAUGUGAUUAAGGGCUUAUGGCUUUGAGGAAAGCCUUAAGACGUAAAACGUAAAAGGAAAACGUAGUCUUUACGUUAAUGCUUUUGAGCUAUGUAUGUUGAUUUGCUUGCGGGUCCUAAAUCAGAUUGUGAUCUGUUGUGUGUUGGACUUGGGCUGU